UCAGAGUGAAACCUUCGUUUUCAAAUUCCUCCGGUGUAGGGUAGGUGGGGCCGAACAUACAGGUCCGUUAUUAAUGGAUCCGUCUCUAGCACGUUUCUUUUACGUGUUUUUCCUUUUAGUAGAAACCAAGCUCAAAGAGAUAACUUAUUUACAAGAAACCUCUCGGUAAUGGUUAGAGUUUGUAGAGUAGUGCUCGUUAGAUAACAAGAACCCUUGCUCUGGCCAUGAUGGAGUAAGGAUAGCUAUCAGUUGAGGGUGCGGAUGGAAAUAGUUUUACAGUAGAAUUCCUUCCUUUGUAAAGGAAGUCAUUAGCCCUGUCACUGGUUAAUUGAGCGGUUUGUUCAAAGUGUUAAUAGAAACAAGGAAAUAUUUUGUCAAUGAAUGGAAGAAAAACAUUGUGAACAGUGAAACUAAAUAGUAAAAAAAAAAACUUCUGUACAAACUAGAUUGUCCAAUUUGAAGUGUUCAUAAAUAGCUUUCAUUUUUUUGAUUUGUUGAAAUUUGCAAUGAAGUUACAUUCAAAAUACGUUUUCGUAAAUUUCUUUAGUUAGAAUAAUUUGUCAAUUGCAGGCCGAGAUUUUGUCACAUUACCCGAAAGUGAAGACUGCGUGACUCGUGACGCCCCAAGCCCUUGUAUAGCGUUACCAAAGCGCCAGGACUGCUAAUGAAAUCAAAUGGUACAAAGAAGAACUUGGCCCAGCUAUCUUUGGCAAAUGAACAGUUAUCAUACAGAUUGGAGUGUGUGAUCCCAAAACCCCAUGUGAUGGACUCUGACCUGUGUCUUCUUAGGAACAGGUAAAAAUCAAACACGAUUUACAAGCGCUCAGAUCAGAGGAAAUAAUCGCGUUUAAUCUUUAUCCAUAGUGCAAUAAUCACGAGAUUAGUGUUUGUUAGAGUUAUUUAACCUGCCGUCAGAGUGAUUUAUUGUGGGGGUUGCGAUAUCACUCAUUAAAUAAUGAACAACCUUAAUGCGGGGUGCAGUGGAAUAUGGGGCGAGGGGUAAACGUGAAGAAUGGGGGGGAAUAAGGUGGGAGUAAAGGUUCCGGCUUACAAUGCAGCAAGGCGCGCCACAGUUUCAGUCGAGAAGGAAAGUUGAAAAGGAAACAGAUUGUCGUGUUUGGGUUGGAGGUUAAAUAGCCAAACAGUAAGAAAAGUCUGAGUUUUUUUACGGUAAUGUUAACAAAAAUACACCGUAAACUACUGAUACUUGUGUCAGGUCAUUGCGCGCAAGCUUGUGAUCACAGGCUCGUGCAGUAUUGUAGAAAUAAAACGUAAUUCCACUUCUGCAACUUUGUGUGUAAUGUUACGCGAAGCAUUUUCAGUGGAAACAGAAUUCGUUGUGCGCAAGAUAGAAUUUAACUGUUGCGAGUUGUCAUCGGGUGUAUUGAGUUAAGGUACCUUUGUCCGUACAGCUUUUUAGGAGGUCUAAAGGAACACAGUCGAACCUCCACUAACAGCCACCUCUCUUCAACGGCCACUUUUUUCUGUCUCGGCGGACGGUCCAGACAUUCAAACCGAUUUGAACCUCUUUACAACGGCCACCACUACACAACGGGAACAGUCACUAACGCGCGUCUCAACUGCUCGACAACGGCCAGUUUAUCAGCAACUUACCCACGGUGUACACAAAACCCCAUGUCUCAUUGUAAAGUGUCACAAAACUUGAUUCAUACUGCGCGUCGUUGGUCUCUGUUUCUGUUUGGUUUGCGUUUUAUUGAUAUAUUUUGAUUGUGUUACAUAUUUAUAUAUGCAUAUAUCUUCUGCAAUGCGCAUUUUUUAAAACAAAUGUUGCAUCCCCGAAAGAGCAGAUGUCAUAUUACACCCCUACCUCCCCAUAGCCGAGAGAGAUCCGAGGAGGUUCGACUGUAUUCGAAGAACCUUUUGAACCACUGUUUGAGCAAGUUGUCUUUAAAUUCCCGCAAACUCAUUCGUAGCUAAAAAUCAUUGAAAACAGUGAAUAGUCAAGGCACGUAAGCUUCAAGGGAACGCCUUUAAUAAUAUCAGCCAGUGGAGCUCUCAUUUUCCUGGGAGUCACCAUUCUGUUGUAUUUUGACUUUAUGACUUCUCACGAAUAUCCCAAAUACAAAUACUUAGCUGAAUACGCACUUUUUGUAGUCUAUGAUAUUUUCUGUUAGUUUUAACAAAGUUUCAGUUCUUUAUUAUCGUUACUUUACAGCCAUUGUUCCGACAGUUAGUGUGGUUUCCUAUUGAUUUCUGUGAAUAUAGGGUUACAGUGGCCUACAGUUCAAAUGAUCAUUGACUUCAUGACAGUAAUAUCUAGUUGACGAGUUUCGGUAUUCUCAUAACUAUUGUACUUGACAGUGUGUUGAUAUGGUCAGGAGAAAUGUUAUUUUGAUCUCUCUUGAAAAUUAGAAGUAUAAAUUGUGAAAUUCUGAUUAUUUAUGCUUUACUUGAGGGUUCAACAUAUUUAGGCUUUUUCCAUCCCGCAUCCCGCAUCCCGUCACCUUUUUUGCCUCAAUCAAGCCAUCUCGCCCCGGUCAGAAUAUUUUUCUCGAUCCCUCCUACUUAGAGUGAUUUUCCGUUUUUCAUUCCACAUCCCGCCAUCAAUUUUAAGACUAUCCCGUAUCCCGCCUGUCAAAAUGUCCAAAUCCCUUUCCCUCUAAAAUAUUUUUAUCCCGCAUCCCUCCAUUGAAAGUCCUGUCAUCCCGUAUCCCGCCUUCAUUUUUACUCAUCCCGUUUCCCGCCAAAUCUAUGUUGGGCGCGGGCCUUCUAACUUGUUCCGAUGUGCUGCGGGACGGGAUUGGAAGGAUGGAGGAGGGAAGGGAUGGGACAGAUGCUGUUAUUACUACAAAAAUGCAUUCCAGAUAAGAUGAUUUGUCAAGUAGAUGACCUGCAGUCUUGUUAUUACACAGUAACCUUUCUACUGAUCAAUGACAAGUCUAUGUCGUAUUCCCGCAAAGAAAGUCCAGACAACAGCGUUACUGUCGACAAUAUGACCGCUUCCCUGCCGGUUGCGUACGACUGGCGUCCGGAGUUUGGAUUGAAACCAGCAGGUUACAAGAGAGUAGGAAUAAAUGAGACAGGAUUUUUCGAAGGCUGACCCUUUUGAGCACGGCAUCUAACGCAUUUAGCUUAUUUAAGUUUGAAAUGUCUUAUGUUACGCUGAUGGGCCAAGAAUGCGAAUGACGUUUGUAGCUGAAAGCUUGUAAUUGCGCAGCAAAAACGGAAGACCUGAGAAAAGAAGGGCUAUAAAUUGCGCCUAAAAUGUACGCCAAAUCUUUUCACGUUGUCCAAAGCUCACAACGAAUGCAAACACGUUCUUUACAAAUAAAUUUUUUCCGGCUGCUAGGAAGGAAUGAUAUAUUGGCACUGCAGCGCACAAGUUGGUUUCAUGGAAGCUAAACUCAGCAGUAAUUGUUGAUUCAACGCACCACGAUCUCUUACUGAUGUUAUUUUAUACAGCAGAAGUCAUUAAUAAGAGAUACAACUCCCAAGCAAAACAAAAUGCCUCAAAGAUUGCUUUUGCCAGCUGAUCCCUGUAAAAUCUGUGGGUGGAGGGCGGAACAGAGUGGAAUCGGUCGAGGUAAUAGGUAAAGAUUGCAGAACGAUAGUUUUGCAGAAAAGCCCGUUUUUUACAUCAUGGGAAGUAAAAACAAUAAGGACACAAUAAGAACAGAAAAUGAUAAGGUUUUGUUUUUGUUUCAUCGAAAACAUCUCCAAAUUUUAAUCUUUUAUCCAACGCAUUGAAUUUACCUGUCUCCAUUACGACGAACUAUAAAUGCAUUAGUUACGAUAUUUGGCAAUGUAAAAUUUGUGAGACACUAUUUACUAUUGUUCUAAUCCUGUGAGUUCGUAUUUUCGAAAUAGAAGUUUUAUAUAAGUUUAUCGAGUAUGAAUUAAUUUUUGUGGUCAGAAUACUUCUUUAAGUGUUUUUCAAAAUUAAAAUAGUGGUUUAAAUAGCAAACGUGGGAUAUAAAACUAUAUUGCUUGAUUGUAAUCUUGCGUAGCUUUCUCCCAUGCAAUAUUCAACAAUAACAUUUAAACAUGCAUACAUUUAAUCUUUUAUUGCUGCAUUUACUUGGCUAGCAUUUAUCACGUUGCAUGCGAGGCGUUUAAACUGUUUCAGUUUAUCAGUGACGUGAGGAAAAAAGUGUACGCAUUGCACGGUUAAAUUAUAUUUCAAGUUACUCUGAAAAGGUCUUUGUAGUGGCAAUUGAGUUCGAGAGCUGCACAAAGAUGGAUUCAAGUGUAAAAUUUACUGUAUUUUACAGUGUAGUUUAAAUGAAUAAGGAUAACGUAUGUUGAAUAUAAUGUCUUCAAUUCAGUUGCCAGAACGACAAGCGUUAGAUUAAACUCUGAACUAUAGCACACACUACUUCUUAAUCUACAUUAACUCUAAGAUGUAGUAAAGACAAAUUUUAUUUAACUCUUAUCACAUCAUUCUCAGUUUUUAAGGCAAAUGCCAUAUUUCAUGUGUUGUGUAUUUUACAGUAAGACAAAUGUGUAUUUUACCGCAAAGUAAAAAUGCAAGAGGUUUUCAGCUCUCGUGCAAUAAAAGUGCAAAUCUUCUUGUGUCGUUUUCUUCAAAAUUUAAUUUUAAAAUCAUUUUGCUCCUAAAUGUCCAUGGUAAAAAUCUGAGGGUUAAUUUUCCAAACUUUAUGCUUGAAAAUAUCAGCUUGGGUAAUGAAAAUUUUUAAGGAAAAUCACAUGAAAGUACUUUUCAAUACUGUUGACUUGCAUGGUCAUAUACUGAAGUUUCUGCUAUCGAGAUCUUCAUCAAUAGACGUACAAAGUUAGGGUCACCUCGUACAGGGAAAUAAAAAGGUACCACAUGAAAAUACUACUAAAUAGCUUUCAUUUGAAUGGCCACACAGUAGGGUUUCAUCCAUAGACUUAAAAGUCAGGACCAUCUUGAAAAAACAUAAUGAACAGUACCACAUGAAAGUAAUACUCAACAGCUUUUAUUUGAAUGGUCACACACUAGAGUUUUAUUCACAGAAUUUAAUGUUAGAACCACCUUGUACAGCACAACAGACAGUACUACACGAAACAACUGCACAAUAGCUUUCCUUUGGAUGGUCACACACUAGGGUUUCAUCCACAAACUUGAAAAUUAAACUUACCUUGACAUGACUCGAAUUUGUCGUAUCAGCAAAGUGAUGACAGAUGCGUGUGUUGUGUGUAAUUUAGGCUUUGGGAUGAUCUCUCUGAGUCUGGUCAAGGCGCUUUUUUGGGGGCCGGAGCAUGCAAAGUUAAACACAAGUUCUUCCAGUCUUCUUUUUGUCUUUUAGGAGAAAGAAAAACGGGUUUUUUUACGGUGAAUUAUCAGUGACAAUACUUCAGUAAGCCUUCAACGUAUGCAGGUUAUGUCGUAAUCCGGCUUAACUCUGACUAGUAACGAACGAACUUAACUCUCGGCCUUUUAAAAGAUUGUUAACUGUAUGUUUUUGCUUAAGAUUAUAUUAAUGUCUAACGUGGUUAGAAAAAUUCUGGAAAAUGCUCACUAAAGUUGAGACUCGCUGAGAAUUAUAAACUGUUUAGUUUGCUUCAAUAAGUGGUCUGUGCUCUUAAUUUGUUGUGCUUUAUAAUCUUUGUAAGAGAGUUAAAUAUCGUAACAUUUUGAGAGUUUUUUUUCAUUUGAAACUAAAAGGAAACUAAUUUUACCUGAUUUCUUUCACUUUCCAACAUUUUUUCUCAGAAAAGGGGAAGCGGUUCACCAAAAACACUUUGAAUUCGAAACUAUUUUUGGUCUAACUAAGGUUAACAUGGGUUCUAUUUCAGGAAGAAUUAUUUUCCUCGCGCCAUACAAAAAUCCAGGUCAACUGCAUUACUUGGCCUUAUCACAGAAAGGAAUUUUGAAUCCGUUAUUGUUUUCGAAUUCUUCGCUAUUUUUGUCACAAAGGUUAAACUAUCUGCUUUUAAUCGGAACAAUGGUUUUAGUGCGUUCUGUGAUGUGAAGUUAACAUGAUGUUCUUUUAGGGCGAUUUAGUAGCUUUCUUUACCUCACGCCCUUAACAGAUUUAACAUGAAAAUGUAUUGCUUUGGCUGCCAAAAAGGCAGACUUCAUUCGCCAAGAAUAUUGUGUCCAUUUAUGUAAUGUUUAGUUUCUGACCACAUGUAGUCCGGCAAUAAACACAGUGUCUUUUGUUAGGUUGAUUUUUGUUUGUUUGCAUUUAUACGUACUUCGUAAACGUAAGAAAAAUCCGAGAAGAACGUAUAAAUAUACAAAGGAAAAGCAGUCUUUUUAAUUUCAUAAGUAACAUCUAUUUGUAUUUCUCUUUUCAAUGCCAAGACGUUUACAGUAUUGGAAGAUUAAAAGAAAUCACAUUACAAGAAAAUCCUGCUACAUUCACCCAAAAGGAACCCAUUUGUAUGUUACAGUGUUCAUUGCAAAUGUCAUCUUUUAAUGGACAACACGUCCCUUAUGAUUCGAAGAAAACCUUAGUUCACUAGUUCAUAGCCAACUGAAAAAAAAAAAAACAUUAACUCCAAGUAAGAGAUAUUUCAUUCCAUUUUCAUGUCAUAGGUAACUUUGAAUUGAACAUUUAUUUUUUCAUGAUUUAUAAGAUAGAAAGAGAGGAACCCAUUGUACUGUAAGAAGCCAACUUAAUACAGUCAGAAAUAAACCACAUUUCAUGAUAUAAUGUACACUCGAUGUUCAUUUCUCUUUCGAAUGGCAUCGUGUAUUGUUUUAUUGCCAGAGAAACCAACGCUUUAAGAAACCAAAUAAACUCAUCAAAAAGAGAACCCAUUUGUGUGUUCAGCGGGAAAAAUCAUUCCUCGUGUAUUUGGGAAAUAAAACCACACUGCAAGAAGGACAACUAAAUAUCAUGAAGAGAGUGGAAGCCCGUUGUGUCCAACUAGCAAAAUUCACUGUUCAUUUUUCCUUGUAGAGCGAGGUACACCAUUCAGCAAAGGAACCAAUCCCACUUGCAAGAAGGGACACUAAAUACAAUGAAAAAAGACAAAGCCAUUUGUAUGUCCCAUGUUGGUAAAAAUCACUGUAAGUGAUUUCUUUAAAGAGGAAGGUACAUCAUUCAGCAAAGAAACCCAUCCCACUUGCAAGAAAGCCAGCUAAAUGCAGUAAAAAGGGUAGGAGCCGUUGGUAUUUCACAUUGGCAACAUUCGCUGUUAAAUUGUUUCUUUGAAGAAGAUGGUGCGCUAUUACGAAACUGAGAAAUCUAUCCCAUGUGCAAGAAAGCCAGCUAAAUGCAGUAACAAGAGUAGAAGGCAUUCGUGUGUCAUUGAUUACAUUCGAUGUUAAUUGUUCUGUGAAGAAGAUGGCGUACUAUUUAGAAAUUGGGAAACCCAUCGAACGUACAAGAAAGCCAGCUGAAUGCAAUGAAAGAGAAGAAGCCAUUCGUGUGUCAUAUUGGUUACAUUCGCUGUUAAUUGUUUCUUUGAAAGAUGGUGUACUAUUUAGAAACCCGGAAACCCAGUCAACGUGCAAGAAAGCCAGCUAAAUGUAAUGAAAAGAUUAGAAGCCAUUCGUGUGUCAUACUGGUAACAUUCGCUGUUAAAGAAGAAGAAAAAAAGGUGCAGGGUUUAAAAAAGAAACCCAUUCCGUGUUCAAGAAAGCCAGCUGAAUGCAGGGAAAGAGAAGUGCUCAGUAUGUUGUAGUCUAUAUCCGUUAUAACAGAGUUACUUUUUCAGUGACAACGCACAUAUAGCAAUUGAGAAAGCAUCUAUGUCGUAGGUUUCUCACUACGUGGUGUAUUACUCGUUUAAACAACAACACACAGUGGAGUCCCGAUUUUUCUAACCCUGGAGUUUUCGAACCUCCUGAUAAUUCGAACCAAAAGUCGUUCCCCUCCCCUCAGUCGAACACUGCGAUUCUACGCCCAAUUUCUCGAACUAUGCGAUGUUUCAAACCAAUUUUCGUUCCCCACGGAAGUUCAAAAAAUUGGGAAUCCCUUUAUAUCGCUCAAAACCCGCACCAAAAAGCCAAUUCAAUGUAGUGAAAAGGAAAUAAGCCAUUUAUAUGUCGCAGGAAAAGUACAUUGUCUCACGAAAUAGACAGCACAAAGGUACUUCUCUCGUUUGUCGUCUCUACUCACUGAAAUCACCCUGCUAGAUAAGAGUAACUUUUGUCUAAAGAUGUCUAAUGGCCCAGACAAAUUCUACGAAGGGAAUUGUUUUCCAACGGAGUUCUCAGUACCUACACUCAGUUACUCCUGUUCUCCAUGGUUGACAUGGUUUCAGAGACUGACCUCCAAGAAUUUUCCAACCCACAGUCAUGCAACAUUGUUGGAGCACUGAGGAACACUCAGCGAAAUCAAACAGUUGUGAACGUGACUUUUUUGACAAACCGUCACAAAGAGCUAACAACAUUCCUAGUCUUGUUUCGCAAUUCACUGACAGCAGUUUCAACAAGGGCAAGCGGGCUGUAUGCCGUGGGAAGAGCGCGUAAAGAAUUUUAAGAAAAUUUCGCAAGAAAGCAUUCCAGCUCGUCGAUGUGACAAUUCAGCUGCCACAAUCCACUUCAACAUUUCAAAAUCUAGUUGGCAUUGACGUAUUCUCCCACUGUGGAGGCUGGCGAAGAUUUUAAAAGGAAAAUCCUGGAAUUAAAUCGCUCUUCCACUGAGAUUAAGACAUUAACCCUGUACAACUCUAGAGCCCCUAAUAUCUGUAUCACCUUCCAGAGGCUGUGUUCUCGGCCAACACUUUGAAGGCCCAUUAAAACCGGCAUGAACUGCAGCUUCGUAGUUUGUACUCUCUUAUAAGCAAUCCACUUGUAUCACUGCAAUGUAGUUUUGCUUACAGUGGUACAAUUACAAUCUUUUAGUACUCGGCAGUCCUAAAGAUGUACAUGAAACAUGUUCCGCUCUACUGGCAGUAGUCCAACAUUGUUUGCUACUUAAUAUGGGCAGUGGGUUUCGGGAUGUACGUAAAUUUGCGGGUUAAGAACGCUAAGAAUUUUGCAUCGGAGGCAAAAACGUCAUCGAGGUUGAACUUUGCGAGACACUUUAAACAAAUCUUAAGCUUUCGGCACUGGUGAAAAGAUUAUUUACUGCCUCGCGACCGAACUAAAAAAUGGAUGCAUUACUGAGGUUUGUUCAGUUGUAAAAAAAAGUUACAAGGUUCAAGAUUUUGUGUUGAUUCCGGAAAAGCGGCGGUGUUCUUACUUCCGAAUCCUGCAGCUUCAGACUGUCAACAGCAUUAUUUUCCGUAUAAGUGUGUUUGCUUAUAAGUUGUUAAUUUGUUGUGUUAUAGUUAGCUCUGCAUGCAAUGAACUGAGAGUUUGCCCAGCUCUCAUGACGCUACCCCGUUUUGGAUAAGCUGCGAUUUCGUCAGGAAAAAUUGUAAAAACAGGCUUAGCCGUGAUUGUAAAAUGAUGGAGGAGCGAUACAAUUUCGCAAGCGAAAGAGCUGCUUGAUUGAAAAUCUGCAAUAACUUAUUUCGAAACCAAGCUUUUUGUUGCAAGUUUGCUAUGUGCUACACCCAAGCCGUUUCAAAAUCCUGUUUACUUAAUUAAUAUCCAGUCAUCUUCCCUUUCAUAGUGUCCAUGAGUAAUAAAUAGCCGAUGAAGUCAUUUCUGGAGUUCUUGCAAAUUCUUGCGCUUUCCGUCACCUGCUAUCACUAAACAAAUCGUUAAAUGGUUGUUGUUUUAUCCAAGUGACUCUAAUACUUAGUUAAGGGGAUCGAGUUUAAAAUUCCUGUAAGAACUGAUAUGAAUCCGUUUGUUGUGAUAGCUGACGAAAUGCGACCGACCUACAGACCUAUGUGGCGUGAAGUUGCGAGGACUUUUGAGGUUUGGAGAUAAUGAAAUCAAAAGGAAGUGCUUGGGAUGUUGUCUUUUCCGACCUCUCGCUGAACACGGCAUUAUCCGCGUUAACGCACGGAAACCCACGAAAGCGUGCGCUUUGAAUCAAAGAAUGAUUUCGUGGGAAGCGCGUCUCACGCGAAAGUAUUUUGCAUUUCCCGGGAAAAAAAUGGACACAGCAACCGCAAAAUAAGAUGCAUUUGCACAAUGCCUAUAUAGCAACGUCGCGAAUUUUUUCAUUUGAUUUCAUUUCCGGCAGCUCGGACCGUCCGUCAAUCAAGCGGCAUGUUCAAAAGAAGAAGGGUGGUCUUGGCUCUUCUGCGAAACAAACUACGCGGGUCCGACUGACAAUAGAUCACGCGAGAGCCAAUCACAGAGGCGCUUCUAAGUUGUAUUAGUCAAUUAGCGCAGAGCUACACGAUAGUAGAUUUGCCAAUGAUUUGUGUAGUAGACAAGAAGAGUGUAAACUUGGAACAGCGCUUCAAAUGCGUAUCAUUGCGAGUGGGGGGGUGGAAGAGGAACACAAACCUCCCACGCUCCUCGCUUGAUCGGCGAACUCGGAAAAAAAUUCCAAAGCGAUUACAAAAUCAUAAGGCGCGGUCCUGAAAAUUCGAAGCGCACGGUCAAGGAUUUCAUUUACGCGUCGCGCGCACGGCACUGAAAAUAAUUUUCUGGUGCGCGCACAGUCCGCACAAUGAGUGAUCCUAGCACGGUGGCGCCACAAGAAGAGAGCGUUGCAAACGCUGCAACGGAAACAACACAGGAAACCGUGAACGAACUCGCUCGAGAUGAAAAGCUCUUGUCAACGGAAGUGCCCAGGAAAGGCAAGAGAGGACGGCCGAGAAAAAACUUUCCCGAGAAGCCUCAAGAUGACGGAGCACCCGUUAUAAAACGACCACGAGGAAGGCCAAAAGGAUCCAAGAAUAAAAACCCUAAGGUACGAAGCUUGUCAGAAUUAAGGCCUCCCCUUAGCGCGCGCUCAUGUACUGCGCUGAGUUAUCAUCAGUGAUAGAGUGGCGUGCUACACGGGCCAUUGUAUUGAUACAGCAUCUGUAAAAUGCAUGGCUUUGUUGUCGAUAUUUUUGGCCUAACUUGUUGCUUCUUGUACUAUGUAUUACUCUGUAACUCCGCGAUCAGUAAUCACGCUGGAUGUAAGCAACUCUUUGCUCUCAACAGUUGUCGAAUUUUCCAACCAUUGGGAUUGUGUGGGGUUUUUUUGCUCUCUGUCCCUCUCUCUUUUCUGGGGUACGGCCAAGAAAAUGUAACAUCGUACUUGAACAGUGCGGACGCUUUUUGUUUUGUGGUUAAUAAUGCAGAAAAGACCCAAGUGCCAGUCUCUUUGUGCUAUCAAUGUUUACAACUUUGGCGCAUAAUAACUUAGUUAUGCGUGCUGAGCAGGAGAGCUGUUGCGCGCGCUUAACGACACGAAAACUUCGCGCUUUGUGAAAAGCCUCCGAGUGGAAUCUUAGCGGCUUUGCCUGUAAUGUUAUCGACAAUUUACCAUUCUUCUAUUCGACUUCCGGUAUUUAAAACCCGUUUGGAAAACUUUUCGCGAACGUUUGUCUCACGAAGCGUGAAAUUCUCUGCAUAGUUUCGUGCAGUACACCCAUAAAUCACUUAAAAAUCACGUGAGUUUACGCACGACGCAUGCGUGAUCUACGCGCAAUACAGCACGUGUUGUGUCCGUUGUUUUCGCGGGAAAAAAAUUCGCGCGGUGUAGAAACAUAUCGCGACUUGAAUGACAUGGUAAUAAAGGCCAUACACGUGCGUGGUUUUGUGUAGGCUCUUUGUGUCGCAUCUGCACAAUGUGUGUAAUAGCUUUAAUCGGAAAACACAGCUCCUAUGAAAAGUACACAGUGGUGAUAUUGAGGGAUAAAUCUUGGCUAGUUGCCCAAUUAGCCUCGAAAAAGUUAUCGUCGAAAAUUUGAAUCGGUAGCGAUCGCGAUAGCAAAGUGGAGUUUGAACGCCUCUGAAAAGCGAUCCGUUAGUGCGAGCAGAAAAUUGAAAUCCUCCACGGAUGUUGUAGUGGGCUAAUACUUCCUGGCUUAAUACCGGAGCCAAAUGAAUUUCGUUUAGCGAUGACAAAUCAUAAUGUCCAUUGUACGAUAAUUUUUCACGUGGGAUUGUCUUGUGAAAUGCAAACAUUGUACCACCGAACGAGCGGUCAUUGAAUGAAAUUGUGUUCGGUGACCUUCGCAUAGAUGUUUGCGAAACUCGUGGAUGAAUCGCCCUGCCCCCUCGUUGAAAUGUUUUUAUGUGUUUUAAAUAACUACUUCUUCAGGACAUUUUUUCGGGGCUAUGUCAAUAGCGCUUCGUCGGACCACGUGUUUUCGAUGCGGUGUUCUCCUGUGCUUUAUCGAGGAUUAAACGUGCUUCAUACGUUUUUUUCAGUGUUUUUUUUUUUGAGCACGUACAGAAACAUUGAUAAUAACGUUACAAGUUUUCUUCAUUUUGGAUAAAGCAAUCGAAGUUUUAAUAGGCAAGGAAAAGGUACAACACCAUCAAUUUGAAAGAGGCCGGAAACCGCAAUGGUGAACUUCGGUCGUGUUCCUUUGUUAAGCUGGAUAAAAAACGUUACCAAAACAAAACCGUGCAAAGAAACACUUAAAAAACGCGUCUUCUCUCUCCUGCUGUUAUUUUGCUACAAGUCGUCUCCAAUACAACGUAUUGACCGCGAGACAAAUGUUUUAUUUUUUAUAUUUUACCGCCUUCGCUUCCGUGGAAGACAUAUUGAAAGUGAGUCAAAGUGUAGAUGCUAUCUCAGGCGCUCUGCCCGGCCGGCCGCCUACCUUGAUUAUGCUAAUGGAACAAAUUUGAAAACAAUUCCUUGAUAUCUCCUAAUCAUUUAAUAAUCCCACAGUCGAGUUAUUUUCUGCAGGUGACACUUUUAAAGAAAGUUCUGCCCGAUUGACUUCCUUUUAAAAUUAUCAACAAUGUUAGUUUCUCACACUGGACAGCUGCUAUAAGAUAAGAUUGUUUCUAAAUAUACAUGAAAUACAUGAAUAUAUAUGUAUAUAUUUUUCUUUUUUUAAUUUACUUCCCUUCUUUAUGCAGUUCUGUUUGUCAGGCAAUAAUCACACCAUAUUAGAAACUCAACUGUGGAGAGUAAAUUUCCUUUUAAUUAGCGAGCAAAUGCUUCUUCGCCAAGGUAAAACUUAUAAAAACCGACUUGACAACUUCUGUAAAAUUUCCGUUAUUUUAUCGUAAUAAAUUGAUUAUUAAAGAUUUACAGGGCCAAAUCUUUGCAAUAUCUUCACUUUGUUGUUUAUUUUCUUUGCGAACGAAGGUUGCGAAAUUCACCAAAAAAAAAACUAGACACAUUUAAGAAAUUGUUGUCAUUAAUAGAAUCUCCUUAACCCUGAGAGUAAGGCUUAUUUCGAAUUCGUUAUUGUACAUAAGUAAUUUUAAAUAUGCCACCACAUGUUCAACAUAUUUAAUAACGCUAUUUUGAUUGUUGAAAUCUAUGAAAUUUCGUAAGUCUCUUUGGAACAAUGACACAAUAAAAAGCUGCAGCUCUCGUGGAAAAAAGAUGAACAAAACGUCAUUAAAGGAUUAAAAGCUAAGAGAUUUCUUAAGAUGUUGUGUUCGAUGGCUAAUGACGGAUGCUGAUUCCUUUGUUUCUGCUUCUGCUUUUUCGUACACCAAUGGGAGACGGUUCGUCUCUAUGUAAUACCAAAGACAAUACUUAAGGAAUUAAUUUAGAACAUCAAAGACAUUUUCAUUCGAAAUUUUCAGAAUAAGUUUAAUGCAUGUCAAAACUAGACAAAAAUGUUCAUAAGCUUCCUAAAUAUGGAGAUAUUAGGCUUUGAUCAAGCAGUGUGGUCCCUUUCCCUCAAGGCUCAAGAGUGAUCAAUGCCUGAUUCUCUUUAGAACAAUACAAUGACAAGCAGACUGGACAGAUUAUGACAAUUAUGAAAAUUAUUCACCAGGGGAUAGUUGUGGGGCCCUACCAAAUUUGAAAGAAAUUGUAUAACAAUCAAACAUGUAUCCCAAGCUUAAGACUUCCUCGAUUCACAAAGUGGCUUGAACAAGAUAUAGAGGACUUUCAAUGCUUUUUAUCUUCAAUAGGACUGCCUCCUCUACAUUGUAUUGUGACAAAAUAGGUAACUAAGAUGUAUUUGUUUUAUCCUUGGUCUCCUAGUAUCUGCUCUUUCUCACAGCAGUACAUACCCGCUGAAUUAAUUUGCUGCUUCUUAACAGCUGUUUCAGCCUUCACUCAGAAAGUGAAGUAAAUUAAAUCUGAAUGCCACAUGCAACUUGGGUUGUAAUCAUGAACUUAUUGUCUGACCAGGGAGUCGUCAAAUCUGUUGUUACAUUGAUUACCUCUGGAAUAGCUGACAAUAACCUAGGGUAAACAUUUUGUAACAAAGAAGGCAUAGGCUGUACAAUUGUAACAUCCAACCUUUAACUUUUGAAAGAAAUUAAUGGAAUUGUAGAUCUCACUUUUUUCUUCACUUUUUUCCUUCUUUUCACCACAGUUCUCAGAUAUGAUUGAUUUUUUACUCUUCAUUGUCACCUAAUCUUUGUUAAAAUGAAAUUUUUAAUUUCGAGUUUUCUGAGAUUUCAAAAGAUCCCAAUUGUGUGAUAGUUUUAUGACUGAAGGUUAAAUGUAAAUGGAAUAUGAAUAUAUAAAUACUUCUUCUACCUUGUAAUUAAGUGGCCUUGCUGGUUGCCAUAAUUAACAUUAUUAACUCACAGAACAAUUCCCAUAUUAAA